rfam:Ixodes scapularis strain Wikel colony gcontig_1107728653594, whole genome shotgun sequence.
GCCGGGAUGGUCUAAUCGGUUAAGGCGUCGCCCCAGGCGAAGGUUGCAGGUUCAAUCCCCGCUCCUGGCC